rnacentral:rRNA from 1 species
UACGUAGGUGGCGAGCGUUGUCCGGAUUUACUGGGCGUAAAGGGUGAGUAGGCGGUUAUAUAUGUCAGGUGUAAAAAGCUAUGGCUUAACCAUAGUAAGCACUUGAAACUGUAUGACUUGAGUGCAGGAGAGGUAAGCGGAAUUCCUAGUGUAGCGGUGAAAUGCGUAGAUAUUAGGAGGAACACCGGUGGCGAAGGCGGCUUACUGGACUGUAACUGACGCUGAGUCACGAAAGCGUGGGUAGCAAGCAGGAUUAGAUACCCUGGUA